rnacentral:lncRNA from 10 species
AGAAAUCAUUUAGGUUGGGAAGUAAUACCAUUUUAAUACAUAAAUGACAUAAUUGCCUUUGUAGAAAAUCCCAAACAAUCUAGUCUGAUGAGUUACUUUACCAUGUUUGCAGGAAAGUCAAUGAGAAAAAAAUCAAUUACAUCUCUUUAUACUAGCAAUGAUCCAUUGAAAAUAAAUUUUUAAAAUGUUCAUAAAACAUCACAAAACAUAAAAUACUUAGUGAUAAAUUCAACAAAAUGCGAGAUUGUACACUGAAAAAUGCAAAACAUAGCUAAGAGAAAUUGAAGAUCUAAGUAAAUGUAGAAACACAUCAUUUUUUAUGCAUUGAAAAUCUCAAUUUUUUAAGAUGUCACCUCUUCAAUAUUAGUCUACAAAUGCAUUGCUAUCACAUUAAGAAAACCCAGAAGGCUUUUUAAAAAUAGAAACUAAUAAAUUGAUUAUAAAAUUUAUAUGGAAAGUUGAUUAGUCUCCUAUGUGUCACUUUGAAGCACAGAAUAUUAUUCUCUCACAGUUGUGAAAGCCAGAACUGUAAAAUCAAGGUAUUGGAAGAGUUGGUUUCUUCUGGAGGAUUUGGAGGAGAGUCUUGUCUAGUGACUGCCAAUAAUCCCUGGCAUUCCUUGGUUUACAGUAACAUCACUCCAAUCUCUGCCUCUGUCUUCACAGGACUUCUCCUUCUGUGUCUCUAUGUGCCUUCGUUUCUCUUAAAAGGUGAUCUGGUUUGGCUAUGUCCUCACCCAAAUUUCAUCUUGAAUUGUAGUUUCCAUAAUCCCCACGUGUCAUGGGAGGGGCCUGGUGGGAGGUAAUUGAAUCAUGGAGCGGUUACCCCCAUGCUGUUCUCAUGAUAAUCAGUAAGUUCUUACAAGAUCCGAUGGUUUUAUAAGGGGCUUUCCCCCCUUCCUCAGCAUUUCUCCUUCCUGCCACCAUGUGAAGAAAGAUAAAACAUAUCUUUCCACCAUGAUUUUAAGUUUCUUGAUGGCUCACGGCCCUGCAGAGCUGUGAGUCAAUUAAACCUCCUUCCUUUAUAAAUUACCCUGUCUCAGGCAGUUCUUCUUAGCAGCGUGAAAACAGACUAAUACAGAAGAAUACUUGUCUUUGGAUUUAGGGCUCACCCUAAUCCAAAUAAUCUUAUCUCAAGACCUUUACCUUAGUUACAUUAGCCAAAACCAUUUUUUCCAAACAAGGUCACACUCAGAGGCCCUGGAGUAUAGAACUUAAUCACGUCAUUUUUGUGAGACACAAUUCAACCCCCUGUAUUGGUCGGACAGGCUAGGUUAUUUUGUGGUAAAAAACACCCCCAAAAAUCUCAGAUGUUAAAUACAUAAGUUUACUUCUCACUCAUGCAAAAUCUACUGCAAGCCAGCAGCUCUUCAGGGCAGCUUCCUAAUGAGCAAUGAAUCAGUGACUUGGGCAGAGCUAUUUAAUCUUGCGGCUCUACCAUCUCAGUCUGUAGCCUCCAGCAUAGCUGUGACAGUGGAUGAAACAAAGUCAGGAGACUGUGCUGGCUCUUAAAUGUUAUGCGCCCAAA